UUUAGCUUCGGCUGGUCUUUUACCUGUCUAUUAGAACAAAGGUUGCAAGCCAGUCAGCUUGACAACCGUGCAUGACAAUGCAGGGACUGCCGCCUACGUUUCUCUUUCUUUGAUGUUUUUGUAAGCGCUCACGCAUGUGCGGUCCUUUGGACCUCGUGCUCCGCGAGGGCGCGGCACGAGCCGCGACGGCCGGUCGGCCUACUUUGGUGACCUACCGUUUGAGGACGGGCGCACGGCACGAGCUGCGACGCGUAAGCGCGCUGCAUUUGACGGUUGAUCCGGCAAAUCAGGGCUUGUAGCUCAGUUGGUUAGAGCGCGCGCUUGAUAAGCGUGAGGUCGGAGGUUCAAGUCCUCCCAGGCCCACCAUUUGUUCUGUGCUCACGCAUGAGCGGGGCCAAAGCCCCUAUGCUUGCGCACGGGGCGGCCAAAAGUGGCCGGCGCGCAGUCGCGCUUGCGAAGCUUUGCUUCGUUUUACCGUUCACGCAUGAGCUGGACUGGUUAUCCUUUACCUUACGGGGGGCGUAGCUCAGCUGGGAGAGCACCUGCUUUGCAAGCAGGGGGUCGUCGGUUCGAUCCCGUCCGCCUCCACCAAAGGUUUUGGCAGAUGGAGGGCGCAAAAACAUCAUUUGAAGAAGCAAGUUUGCAGCUUGUCGGGUUUGUGCCUGAUGGUUGCCUGUUCUGUAUGAAAUUGUGAAGAGAAGAUAAGUUCGGAUUGUUCCGGAUGUUCAAGGGUUUGUGCCUUCGGGGACUGAUCCGUCGGCCUUUGGCCAUGAACGCCGGGAAAUGUCGCAAGGGAUGCUCAUCAAAAGCCCUUGCAGAUGAUUGGCCGCUUAACCGCAGAGCCACCGGAUUUAUCUCGAGAAGCUGGUCUUUUUUGUCAUAUUGAUCGAUUGCAACGCUCGAAGCGCUGCAUGGGAAGCUCCCGUGUAGACCGCUAGGUCGUCGGCCAUGUCUGGCCGCGCCCCGCGCAGCGCCAGCCCGCAAGGGCGGUACGGCGCGUGAGCGAGAAUGCAAUAUUGUCUUGCUUUGCAAGACAAGAUGGAUAUUGGCAAUGAGAAUGAUCAAGUGUCUUAAGGGCAUUUGGUGGAUGCCUUGGCAUGCACAGGCGAUGAAGGACGUGAUACGCUGCGAUAAGCGUCGG
rnacentral:misc_RNA from 1 species